AUAGAUAAAAGGUACUGGAAUGUUCUUUUAUCCAAAGCUUUUGCGCCUGAGGAUGGGCCUGCGUCCGAUUAGGUUGUUGGUGGGGUAAUGGCCCACCAAGCCUGCGAUCGGUACGGGCAGUGAGAGCUGAAGCCCGGAGUUGGGGACUGAGACAAGGCCCCAGGCCCUACGGGGCGCAGCAGGCGCGAAACCUCUGCAAUGCGGGAAACCGUGACAGGGGGAUCCCAAGUGCUCAUGCAUUGCAUGGGCUGUUCUUUGGUCUAAGUAACCAGAGGAGUAAGGGCUGGGCAAGACCGGUGCCAGCCGCCGCGGUAAUACCGGCAGCUCAAGUGGUAGCCGCGAUUAUUGGGCCUAAGGCGUUCGUAGCCGGAUAAGUAAGUCUUUGGUUAAAUCCUGCAACUCAACUGUGGGAAAUCUAGGGAUACUGCUUGUCUUGAGACCGGGAGAGGUUAGAGGUACUCCCAGGGUAGGGGUGAAAUCCUGUAAUCCUAGGGGGACCACCUGUGGCGAAGGCGUCUAACUGGAACGGGUCUGACGGUGAGGGACGAAACCUAGGGGAGCGAGCCGGAUUAGAUACCCGGGUAGUCCUAGGCGUAAAUGAUGCGAGUUAAGUGUGGGGGCAUCUACGAGAUGGCCCUGUGCUGUAGGGUAGCCGUUAAACUCGCCGCCUGGGGAGUACGGUCGCAAGGCUGAAACUUAAAGGAAUUGGCGGGGGAGCACAAUCG
rnacentral:rRNA from 1 species